ACUCAAAGGAAUUGACGGGGACCCGCACAAGCAGAGGAGCAUGUGGUUUAAUUCGAAGAUACGCGAAAAACCUUACCAGGACUUGACAUGCCACGCAUAGCCGUGAAAGCGGUGAAAGAUUAGCAAUAAUUCGUGGACACAGAUGGUGCAUGGUUGUCGUCAGCUCGUGUCGUGAGAUGUUCGGUUAAGUCCGUCAACGAGCGCAACCCCUGCUUUCAGUUGCCAGCAUUAAGUUGGGCACUCUGGAGGGACUGCCGUAGUUAAUACGGAGGAAGGUGGGGAUGACGUCAAAUCAUCAUGCCUCUUACGUUCUGGGCUACACACGUGCUACAAUGGUGACUACAAAGAGUUUCGAUAUGGUAACAUGGAGGCAAUCUCAAAAAAGUCAUCUCAAUUCGGAUUGUGGGCUGAAACUCGCCCACAUGAAGUCGGAUUUGCUAGUAAUCCCGAAUCAGCAUGUCGGGGUGAAUGCGUUCCCGGGUCUUGUACACACCGCCCGU
rnacentral:rRNA from 1 species